GUGCUCGCUUCGGCAGCACACACACUAAAACUGGAAGGAUACAGAGAAGAUUGGCAUGGCCCCUGCGCAAGGCUGACACACAAGUCCGUGAAGCGUUCCAUAUUAAA
ensembl:snRNA U6 U6 spliceosomal RNA